GCCCGGUUAGCUCAAUCGGUAGAGCGUGAGACUCUUAAUCUCAAGGUUGCGGGUAAGUUUCACUGAAAAAACUCAUCUUCCAUGGAAGAAUUCAAAAAAUGCUAACAAAUCCUCAAUAGGUUCGACCCCCGCAUCGGGCU